rnacentral:piRNA from 1 species
UUUCUGUCCUGCAAAAUGGUGU